rnacentral:tRNA from 1 species
GGGUGUGUAGCUCAGCUGGUAGAGCAGCGGUCUCCAAAGCCGCCGGUCGGGGGUUCGAUCCCCUCCGCACUCG